rnacentral:hammerhead_ribozyme from 1 species
AUCCAACUGAGAAGUCCCGAAUAAGACGAAAUGUGCAUCCUGGAU